CCCAGCUGGUACCCUGGCAGGAUCAGAUCUAGGAAACUAGCGUGAGCUCUUCAUUCGUGACCUGUAAGCAAAUAAUUAUCAGCCUUGAUCCCGGACUGCGCCUGCCCAGAGGCUCCCCUUUGGCUCCACUUAGCUUCCAAGUGACUUCCUAGAGCAGAACUUCUUUACCUCCCUCUCCCUCCUCUGUCUCCUUCUAUCGGAGCGCCAGAGUAAAGCCAGGAAUGUCCGCUGUUUCCAGCUCUACUCAGCCACGUGUGGAAUUUCACAUUCAGUUAUGAGCACCACAGUCUAGAUGGACAUGGAUAAACUUAGAAACGUCCAGAGGAUGGUAAUCAAGUUGAAGAAGGGUCCUGAGCCCACAUCAGAUGAGAAUCAAUAGAAGGAACUUGGGAGAUUUAUCCUGGACAAAACUCAAGGGGGACAUGCCUUCAAGUAUUUGAAGAGCUGAGUACUGGAACAAGGAUUAGCUUUGUUUAGCUUGGCGCCAAAGGAUACAAUAAGGAGCAACAGAUGGGAGUUGUGGAAAGUCACAUUUAGGCUCAGUGUUAAAGAGGAGUCAGCCUAGAGUGAACUAGGCCAUCUUCCAUCUCCCUCCUUCCCCAAAGGUUGGGAAUUAAAGGGAUAAACAAUCAUGUGUUUUCAACAGUGUAGAGGGAAUUUUUGUUCAGAUAUAGGCUGCAGUUCCUUUUCAGCUCGGAGAUUCUGUGAUUUAUAUUCUCUCUCCUUCUAUAUUUAUGUCCAAAUUCAAGAUAUUGUUGUAGAAAAAAAUGUCAGAAAGUAUCCAAAUCCAGUAAAGGAGUCAAAUUUUUUCCCUUCCCUUCCCUUCCCUUUCCUUCCCUUCUCAUCUCUCUUUUCCCCCUCUUCUUUCUCUCCUAUCUUCUUUUUCUCUUCUCAUCUCAUUUCAACUUGUUUCAUCAUUUCAUCUAGUCAUCCUGCUCAUCAUCUCAUCUCAUUUUUUUUUAUUUGAUCUUUUCUCAUCACUUCUCAUCUUGUCGCAUUUUAAUCUAACAUCUCCCAGGGUGAGAACUGAUAUUAACUUUUAACUUCUAGCUCACUGAAAACCCUGCUGUAUGAAGCUCUCUGGUGCAAUCACACUUGAAACUGAAGAACUCUUUAUCUUGGGCCAAAUUUAUGGCCCAUCUUCAGAUAUGGGGCCUACUAAAACUGAGGGGAAGGCCCACCCAAGUGACUCCAAACGUUUACCUCUUUAGAAUAGUAUGUACCUAAUGAAAAGAGGAAACUUGUGGAUGUCUUUGAAUGAGAUUAUAUAAAUAGUAAUGAACUUAAUUUAUUCUUCUGGCUUGCCAGAAACCUAUUGAAUAAAAAUAUGCAAAGGCAUGGUUGACCCCAGACUCUUCUGCUUGGGGAAACCAAUUGGGAAUCAAGGUUCCUUCUUGAGAGCAGAUGUGGAACUCCAAGCUCACCAGCAGUGCACCCCCAUCGAGAAGAGACCAACAAGUAUGGCUCUGUCAGGGAAUCAUCAUUGGCUUUUUGGAAAGCUAGAAGUUAAUUCAUUCAGCAUUUAAUAAGCAGGGCUUGAGGAAAAUGGGCUCUGGGCUAGGGAGAGUGGGUUUUAAUUUUUCUCUUAAUUUUAUUUUUUAAUUAUUAAAAUUUCUUUUUUUCUCCCUUACUGUGUUACCCAUUCAAAUAAAACCUUUAUCAUUUAUAUGCCUGGUCAAGCAAAGCAAAUGUCCUCAUCGGCCCUGGAAAAAUGGAUGUCUCAUCCUGCAUCUUGAAUCCAUCCCCUCAUUGUCACUCCUCUGGAAUCCCAGGUGGCCAUACCACUGAUGAGAGACUGUCUAUAAUUGCUCUCCAGAAUGGUUGGAUCAGUUCACAAUUCCACC
rnacentral:lncRNA from 1 species